UCUGCGGCAAAUCCUCCCCGCGGCGGCCCCCGGAAGCAGGAAGGACGCGGGGGGCGAACAACGCCCCGAGGGGACGCCGAGGAGUGCGCCCCGCGCCCUGGCUGUGCCCCGGCCGCGGGACCCCGGCGCCGCGCCCCUCCAUCCCUUGUUCCCGUGCCCCUCGGGGCGUCACCCUGCCGGCCGGUCACCCUGGGGCCCGUCCCGGGUCCCAGCCUUCAAAUGAGGCCGUGAGCACCCGCAGGUGACAAUGGCCUGGCAGACUUGGGGAGCUCGUGUGGGAAAGCCGGCAUCGGGACUAGCAGCGCUCCAGACGCGGAUGAAAAAGCAGUGCCGUUGCCCAAAGCCAGUUGUCCUCUCCUACAUCUUGCUGUAGCACUGCAGCAAAAUUUGAGUCAUACUUAAACACACACCCUCACCCAGCAAUCUAAAUGUUCUUGUUAAGUUUUUAAAUUUGAAAGCAGUUCACUUAGUAAGAUACUGCACACUUAGCCUUUCUGCACGUAUUCAAUGCCCAUGGAUCUACAACACCAGAAAAACACUGGUUUUGGACAGUGGGCUGAAACCUGUAUUCUUAGCUUAUUCAAAGCUAAAGUUCAAAGGGCUUUGGUAAGUAAUGUUGACCAGUCUCAAGCAACUCCAGGGAGCAAUGAUAGCAGAAAACUUACACAAUGACAGAACCAAAGGUUUAAUUUCUCUUUUCACAGAUACUAAUCUAUACCCCAAUGCUCAGUGAUAACCACCUUUGAAAAGUGUGUUACUCUCUCCUAAUGUAGGAUAGAGAAGUCAAAUCUGAGAUGUUUCUCUCCCUUUACUGACCUAAGCAAGCCACUCAUUUCCACUAAGCCUCUUGUUUAUAUGGCUCAAGUGAUGUGGGAUAAAUUUCACUGUGACAUAGGUAAGGAUGUAAACUUUUAUAGCUUGGUUUUUAAGAUAAUCUCUUGUCCCUGGCUGAGAAGACAUUUCCUUUGUCUGCACCUUCUUACAGUGCUGGGUGUGCAAAUUCUCUGCCUACUGCUCAGGAACAGAGUGCUUGCCUGGAUGAACCGGUGCAUAAGUCUCGUCUUCUUUUGUUCCAGGGCACAGUGGACUAAUUCGCAGGCAUUUCAGGUUGUCACGACUAAGCUUUUUUGUCUUACUAGCCUAGAGGCUACAGUUUCAACCCACAAAGGUUCGAACAGGGUCAUUAUAAGUACUGGUCCAUAGUGUUGUAUCUGUCUAUAGCACCUAGUGGUUUUGAUAUGUAUAGUUCCUCUGCAGAAAUACAGCACUCAGAGUCUUGGCUUACAUAGUGUGCUGUGCUUGGGUGUUGCAUCCAGAGCAGACAUUUUCUGAACUGUCGUUAUUCUGAAGGUUGUAGAGUAUGGGCAAGAGUUUUCUCAUCCAUGUCAGGUGGCUGAGAUGACACAGUGGUAAAGGGCAGCAGUGCUUAUUCUUCAUUAGAGCUGACACUGCUGAUAGAACAAAUACAGUGGCAUAGAUGCAGAAGAACUAGCAGCAGUUUUAAGGUAUGCAAGGUUUUCAAAGGUACCGUAUGUUGCUCUUUGGAUAUUCUUGUUCAUCUGGCCCUUUGCUGUUUCCUUGCUAAUCCUAUCAGGUUCCAAGAGAUGGUGAAGGUGCCUACUUAGGAGUAAUGUCCAUGCCCUAUGGCCUUUUCCUAUAUGACCCCCUUCCUAAUAAUUUAUUAUAAUUACAGAUACCUUCAAGACUUGCCACGUGGUGCCCACUGGAGAAAGACAGCUGCAGACUUCCAUCACUGCAAUGAUAUACAUAGUUUUGGGAUAUGCCUUUAUUUCAAUCACCAACAAGAGCAGCUAGCCUCUCAAGCAUGGAAGGGGCUUGCCAAGGGGACUUGCCAACUGUUUGCAGAAUAGACAAUGGUUCCUGGACAUAAAGGCAGUCUAAGGAAAAGUGGAAACAUAGCUGAGAAGAUGUCUAUGAAUUUUGAAAAGAGCUGAAAAGAAUGCAUUUUAGAAGAGAAUAAAAUGCUUACAUACAGGUAGGUAAUACAAUUACAUUUGAAAUAGCCUGCUCAGGUAGUCCUCUAUUUUAUACUGCACUGUAAAACAACAUGCAGUUAGAAAAUGGUAUGAUAAAAGAUGAACUGUUACAGUCAAGCUGUCUUGUGAUUGGUGAUGUGUCACACAUUAAAACCCUGAGGGCAACAGAUUUUCUUUGGAAAAAAAUUAUUUUGUGCUAAACUUUGAAAGGAUGCAGACCUCUGACCUUGUCUAUUCACAAGCAUAUACUACAUCAUCUGAGAUGGAAGGUAGACAAGAAAGGUGCUUCAUCCUCCUGAACAUACCUCUGAGGAAGCUGCAGGGUCCCAGCUUUAUAGCCACUGUUCACACUCUGACUUGCUCUGUCGGUAUCUCAGUCAGGUAGAUUUGUUAACUUUCCCUCCUUGAAAACUAAUUUAUGUUCUGCAGUAUGGAGCAUCAGGUCCACUGCUGAGUAAAAUGUGGAGAUACACUGCAUAAAACUGACUUAGUGACCCUCACUGUUUCAGAGUGAUACCACCUGCCUAUCUGCAGCUUAAUCACACAGAUAUGCCCCUUCAGUAGAAGAAACAGCAACAUUCAUGGGCUUUGAAAUAUAUCUCUCUGUUUCAAAGAGACAGUGAUUGAGACCCGCGCCUGUCUGGCUUUUGAUUGUUUUGGUUGGAUUUUGUAUUUUUAUAAUGUUCAAUAUUAAAUUGGAGUCCCAGAGUGGAAUAUGAUGAAAAACUAUAUGUAGAGCUGUAUUUUUUAGAUGUUGUUUUUUUUAAAGAGGCAGUUUAAAUAAAGUGCUUAAAGUUUAAAACAUG